rnacentral:rRNA from 1 species
UACGGAAGGCAGCAGUGGGGAAUAUUGCACAAUGGGCGAAAGCCUGAUGCAGCUAUGCCGCGUGUAUGAAGAAGGCCUUAGGGUUGUAAAGUACUUUCAUCGGGGAGGAAAAACAAAACUAAUAAUUUUAUUUCUUGACGUUACCCGAAAAAGAAGCACCGGCUAACUCCGUGCCAGCAGCCGCGGUAAUACGGAGGGUGCUAGCGUUAAUCAGAAUUACUGGGCGUAAAGAGCACGUAGGUGGUUUUUUUAAGUCAGAUGUGAAAUCCCUGGGCUUAACCUGGAACUGCAUUUUUGAAACUGAAAUACUAGAGUAUCGUAGAGGGAGGUAGAAUUCUAGGUGUAGCGGUGAAAUGCGUAGAUAUCUGGAGGAAUACCUGUGGCGAAAGCGGCCUCCUAAACGAAUACUGACACUGAGGUGCGAAAGCGUGGGGAGCAAACAGGGAUUAGAUACC